AACGUAGGAGGCAAGCGUUAUCCGGAUUCACUGGGCGUAAAGCGCGUGCAGGCGGUUCGGUAAGUUGGGCGUGAAAUCUCUUGGCUUAACUAGGAGAGGUCGUUCAAUACUACCGGACUUGAGAGUGGUAGAGGAAGAUGGAAUUCCAGGUGUAGUGGUGAAAUGCGUAGAUAUCUGGAGGAACACCAGUGGCGAAAGCGAUCUUCUGGACCAUUUCUGACGCUCAGACGCGAAAGCUAGGGUAGUAAACGGGAUUAGAGACCCCGGUAAUCCUAGCCGUAAACGAUGUAAACUUGGCGUUGGUGGCUUAAACACCAUCAGUGCCGCAGCUAACGCGAUAAGUUUACCGCCUGGGGACUACGAUCGCAAGAUUAAA
rnacentral:rRNA from 1 species